rnacentral:rRNA from 1 species
UACGUAGGGGGCAAGCGUUGUCCGGAAUUAUUGGGCGUAAAGAGCGCGUAGGCGGUCCGAUAAGUCGGCUGUGAAAGUCAGGGGCUCAACCCUUGAAAGCCGGCCGAUACUGUCGGACUAGAGUCCGGAAGAGGCAAGUGGAAUUCCCGGUGUAGCGGUGAAAUGCGCAGAUAUCGGGAGGAACACCAAUGGUGAAGGCAGCUUGCUGGGACGGUACUGACGCUGAGGCGCGAAAGCGUGGGGAGCAAACAGG